rnacentral:rRNA from 1 species
GUUUGAUCAUGGCUCAGGAUGAACGCUAGCGGCAGGCUUAAUACAUGCAAGUCAAGGGGGUAGCAAUACUACCGGCGCACGGGUGAGUAACACGUACAUAACAUACCAUAUACUGGGGUAUAGCUUUGGGAAACUGAAGGUAAUCCCCCAUAACAUUGCGAGAGGGCAUCUGAUUGCAAUUAAAAGUUUCGACGGUAUAUGAUUGAUGUGCGUUUGAUUAGCUUGUUGGUAGGGUAACGGCCUACCAAGGCGACGAUCAAUAGCUGGCGUGAGAGCGCGACCAGCCACACUGGAACUGAGACACGGUCCAGACUCCUACGGGAGGCAGCAGUAGGGAAUAUUGGACAAUGGGCGAAAGCCUGAUCCAGCCAUGCCGCGUGAUAGAUGAAGGCCCUCUGGGUUGUAAAUAUCUUUAUCUGGGAAGAAACAAUCUUAUUCUUAAGAUCUUGACGGUACCAGAGGAAUAAGCACCGGCUAACUCCGUG